ensembl:lncRNA
GUGCCGGCUUGUCAGCCUUAACACUCAGCUGCACACUGUAAAACUUCCCACACUUCUGGCAGGGAAGACAAGACAGACGUUCAUGCAGCACCUGUCCGGAAGAGAAGUAGAACUACAUGUCCCAGAGGACUUUGCAUUCAGAGAGGAGAUACAAGCUUUCAUAGAUCACUUGACCUGCCCUUUUUCAUCUGUCUCUUAUCCCGGCUGCUUAACUCAACUGCAUGUUUCACCUCAGUGUUAUGGUGAGGCCUUUCCACCUUUCAAACACCCUCUCUCAUUAUAUUUGAUUUCU